rfam:Salmo salar isolate Sally breed double haploid chromosome ssa17, whole genome shotgun sequence.
GCUUACGGCAUAUAUACACAAUACAGUCAUUGGCUUACGCCGAGUCUCGGAAGCUAAGCAGGGUCGGGCCUGGUUAGUACUUGGAUGGUACACUGCCUGGGAACACCAGGUGCUGUAAGCA